rnacentral:rRNA from 1 species
ACGGGGUGCAGCAGGCGCGAAACCUCCACAAUGUACGAGAGUGCGAUGGGGGGAUCCCAAGUGCUAUUCUUAACGGGAUAGCUUUUCUUAAGUGUAAAAAGCUUUUGGAAUAAGAGCUGGGCAAGACCGGUGCCAGCCGCCGCGGUAACACCGGCAGCUCUAGUGGUAGCUGUUUUUAUUGGGCCUAAAGCGUUCGUAGCCGGUUUGAUAAGUCUCUGGUGAAAUCCUGUAGCUUAACUGUGGGAAUUGCUGGUGAUACUGUUGAACUUGAGGUCGGGAGAGGUUAGCGGUACUCCCAGGG